UCACAAAGAUCUUUGGAGAGAAGGAGGUGG
rnacentral:piRNA from 1 species